UACGGAGGGUGCGAGCGUUAAUCGGAAUUACUGGGCGUAAAGCGCACGUAGGCGGUCAGGCAAGUCGGGUGUGAAAGCCCUGGGCUCAACCUGGGAAUUGCAUUCGAAACUAUCUGACUCGAGUAUGGGAGAGGGAAGCGGAAUUUCCGGUGUAGCGGUGAAAUGCGUAGAUAUCGGAAGGAACACCAGUGGCGAAGGCGGCUUCCUGGACCAAUACUGACGCUGAGGUGCGAAAGCGUGGGGAGCUAACAGG
rnacentral:rRNA from 1 species